AUUGAACGCUGGCGGCAGGCCUAACACAUGCAAGUCGAGCGAGCGGCGGACGGGUGAGUAAUGUAUGGGGAUCUGCCUGAUGGCGGGGGAUAACUACUGGAAACGGUAGCUAAUACCGCAUACCAUCAGAUGAACACAUAUGGGAUUAGCGUGUAGGUCAGGUAACGGCUUACCUAGGCGACGAUCCCGAGCUGGUCUGAGAGGAUGAUCAGCCACACUGGGCAUGGGACACGGACCAGACUCCUACGGGAGGCAGCAGUGGGGAAGAUUGCACAAUGGGCGCAAGCCUGAUGCAGCCAUGCCGCGUGUAUGAAGAAGGCCUUCGGGUUGUAAAGUACUUUCAGCGGGGAGGCGUUACCCGCAGAAGAAGCACCGGCUAACUCCGUGCCAGCAGCCGCGGUAAUAC
rnacentral:rRNA from 1 species